rnacentral:rRNA from 1 species
AAUGGCAGCCAUAUCACCCUGCAACUCACAACUGGCAACCCACUGAAACCAAACAGGUGUGAGCCUGGUCAGUACCUGGAUGUGAGACCUCCUGGGAAAAACUAAGGUUGCUGCUGGAG